GCGUUCAGUAAGUAUAACGUUUCAAGAUGGCGGAGCGAAUUGCAUGGUUAUUGUUUCUACUCAAUGGAUUCGCAGGUACUUCGGAAAUAGUUCAGAUUGGGAUCAAUAACUUUAUUGCAUACGAUCAUUUACAUGUAUUACCUGGUGUGUGUUGCCAGUAAUGGUUGAAGAUAUGCCAAACAAAUUGUGCCUCUCUAUACAGACAGAUUUCAGGUCUCAAUUUCGACUUCAAAGGUCAACAUAUCACUGAUAUCAGGAAUUCUGUACAACUGUGGAACCAUGUAUGGUACGUGACCGCACAAUGUUGGUUGGCAAAAGGAUAUUGGAAUAAGCAAAGGGACUCAACAUUACACAGUCAUUUCAACAUGUAGAGUCUG